rnacentral:rRNA from 1 species
CACGUAGGCACCAAGCGUUGUCCGGAUUUAUUGGGCGUAAAGAGCUCGUAGGCGGUUCGGUAAGUCGGGUGUGAAAACUUUGGGCUCAACCCCAAAGCGUGCACUCGAUACUGCUGUGACUAGAGUUCGGUAGGGGAGUGGGGAAUUCCUAGUGUAGCGGUGAAAUGCGCAGAUAUUAGGAGGAACACCGGUGGCGAAGGCGCCACUCUGGGCCGAAACUGACGCUGAGGAGCGAAAGCGUGGGUAGCAAACGAGG